rnacentral:rRNA from 1 species
UACAGAGGUCUCAAGCGUUGUUCGGAUUCAUUGGGCGUAAAGGGCUCGUAGGUGGCCAACUAAGUCAGACGUGAAAUCCCUCGGCUUAACCGGGGAACUGCGUCUGAUACUGGAUGGCUUGAGUUCGGGAGAGGGAUGCGGAAUUCCAGGUGUAGCGGUGAAAUGCGUAGAUAUCUGGAGGAACACCGGUGGCGAAGGCGGCUCUCUGGAACGCAACUGACGCUGAGACGCGAAAGCGUGGGGAGCAAACAGG